rnacentral:lncRNA from 1 species
AUAGAAAAGGCAACUGUGCCCAGAGCGGUGGAGGACUGCGCUCCAGGAUGCAACCAAAGCCGGGUGCACAGCAGCCGGCAUGGCGCCAAAACUGAAGCCCUGAGCUGCUCUGCGGUGCUACCCUUUGUCCCUCCAGACUCUCUUUUCCUUCAUCUGUUUGUCAGUAAACCGAAGCCACCACAGUUUGUCAUUUGGAUGAUUUUCGCCAGAUGGAGAAGCUGCAGCUCCAGACUCUUGACAGCCGCACAACUUCCAAGGCAGUGGCCCCGCGGGCUGCAAACCCCACCUUCCUGCAGUUGCAGAGCCAGCUAAGAGGUGGGCAGCAUGCCAGGCCCCAUCAGCAGCCCCUGGAGCACACACCAAUUGCAGAUGCUCAGGAGACUCGGGGGAAGGAACGGGGUUUUCACCAGAACACCACAGGCAGGACCUCCCAGCAAAGGCCUCCAGAUGCUGUGAAAACCUAAGGCUCGUCCUCCUCCUGGCUUCCCAGGUUACCCAGCCACAACACACAGGUGAGAACCAUCUCAAGACCUCCCCACUUUUGGGCUCCCUUACCCUGACUCAUCGGUCGUCAAGGGACCAAAAGGGGUCAGUAGAGCAAGGCCCCUGCCUUCAAAGAAUGCAUGCAUUUUUUACCUUCAUAUUAAUUAUUGAAAAAACCGUACCUCAAAUCACACCCCCAACCUCUCAGCAUGAACAAGCUCCAGCAGACUUCUCCCAGCAGCCCCUCCCGCCUUUCUCUGCAUGUAGGUCGGCUUUUCAGAGCUGCCAUCAAUGUGGACAUAAAGCCCUGCUUUCCACACUCCUCCCUCCGCUUUGUAUACACUUUCCCAUGCAUCUGGGUCAGCCUGGAGCUGAGUAUUUCACAGGGCAGCAAAAUAUACAGAGGCAUAUUUUGUUUUAGAAUCUUAAUACCCAGAACAUCUGGGUAAUACUCAGACAACUGGACAGAUUCUUGCUGAUGCUGCAAGUCUCCAAAUACGGUCCCUUGCAGAGAGAAAAUGCUGUAUUUUGCAUCUGUACCUAGGCACAUGGGUUUUCUCAAGCAUAGUGGACUUUGGAGUGUGACAGUUAGUGAUUUCUCCCCGGGAAGUGGCAUGACCUGUAGGAGUUACUGUUGGCUGCAGCUGCUGGUGCAGCCCAAAUUAUUUAUUGGUUUUGAUUCGUGCACCGUUCCCUGCGUAAAUUAAAAUGUGACAUUAUUACACCCUC